rnacentral:lncRNA from 1 species
UCCGAAUUUUCCCAGUCAUCAAAUUUUCUUCGACCACAAUUACAAAUACAAGCAACAAAACAAGACUUUUUCUGUUUUUGCUUAUAUAUUUAGAUCUAUUUGUUCCAUCUCUAAUUUUGACUUGGUCUUCUCCCAAAACCAAGAGUUGCUUGCAUCGUUCAAUGUUCAUCAUCGCACAGGUGAUUUCAACAACCAACUUAAUCUUAACUCAACAUAAUUCGAUCAUAUCUUACAAACAAGAUUGCAUAAUUUAUGCAACAUCAGAAGGAAUUCUUCUUCCUCCUCCUCCUACUAAGGAGACUUUAUGACAUGAACAGAUCAUUAUAAGAAGACUUGCAUCGAAAGGUACAUAAACACAACUUGUCUUCAAAGUUGAUGAAAUCUUCGAUCAUUCGUUCAUAUACAAGCAAUCUAAUUCGCACCAGUGAUGCAUGAGAACAUGCGGCUGCUCCCAAACCUCGUCUGCUUGGCCAAGCGGCCAUGUCCGCCGCCAACCCUCUCGGGCGAGAAGUCCUCCAGCGAGCGGUGCCUCCUGUGGCCAUUCUGGUCCUCAUGGAAACUCCCGAGCUUGAUCGGCGCCGGCCGGAGGAAUCUCUGGGUGUUAGGGUCGCCAAACCACUGCGAAGAACCGGUCGAGAGGGACCGGUAGUACUUGCGAGCCUUUCUUCUCUUGAUCGCCCUGUAGAUGUAUGGGAUCAGCCCUUCCAUUCUUUUCUCGGUUGGAAGAGUUUGAAGGUUCUGCCAAGCCUCUUAUAAGGAGGGAGAAGAAAGCUGAGUUGACUUUGGUUCCUUCUCGAGUUAAUCCGCAUGCCACAUUCGCUGGCAGAACAAGAAAUUGCUGUCAGGAUAAAGAUGGAAAUCUCCUGUCACCCACUGUCAUUAGAAAAGAUCAUGAAGAAGAUCAAACAAUGCAACAGUCAAUCACUUGGCGUAUAA